UGGGUACAAAAGAAACCUCCUUUUUGGUCGUUUCGGCUCCCUGAGUUCGAAUUUAGGGUCGGUUUUUUUAGAAACUGGCCAAAAAAUCACCAAAAAGGCAAAGAACCCUUCGGCCACUUACGGUAGAAAACGAACACCAGCUACGACGAGGGAGCAUUUCAAGCUUUUAGAAGGGUCACAGUCGUUGGAUUUUCAAGUCAGGGACAAAUAUAGUAAGGUAUGGACCUUUAGGCUUUGCACUGGGAAAAAUGGUCACCUUAAGCCUGUGUUAACCAAAGGGUGGCGUGAUUUUGUUAAAAGAAUGGGUCUCAAGGUGGGUGAUAAGGUGAUUUUCGUUGUGCAUGGGAACCAUAAUGAUCAGCUUGGGAUUCAAGUUAAGAGGAACAUAAUGCUACUCGGUAAUGAGCAUUGGGCUAAUUUGUAAGUGACUUAUUGGCUCAAUGGGGGUCUAAAUUUGGUGAAAAUUUCAUGUGAAAAUGGGUCUAUCCUACUUGUUUGAUGCAUGUCUAUGUUAAAUAUUAUAUACAUAGCUAGGUUUCUGUUUCUCGAGCUACAAGCUUCCCGGUUAAUUUUGUGUCUUAUAGGGGUAAAACUACUAUAGAUGCCUUUAUACUAUGAAUCGAAUUGUAUUUUGUCUCCUCUAUUAAAAAAAAAUAAGUAAAUUAAUCCUCA